CGCCUGAGUGAACAAUUUAACGGCCGCGGUAUCCUAACCGUGCAAAGGUAGCAUAAUCAUUUGUCUACUAAUUAUAGACCAGCAUGAAAGGCAAAAUGAGGGCCUAACUGUCUCUUAUAAUAAAUCGAUUAAACUGAUCUCCCAGUAAAAAAGCUGGAAUUACUACAUAAGACCAGAAGACCCUGUGAAGCUUAAACUACACUAUUAAACCCCAUAAUAGCUACUUUCGGUUGGGGCGACCUUGGAAAAAAAAAGAACUUCCAAACAAUGAAUAUCACCAUAGGCCUACAAGCCACUAACGACCCAGUACAACUGAUUAUUGAACCAAGUUACUCCAGGGAUAACAGCGCAAUCCUCUUCAAGAGCCCAUAUCAAAAAGAGGGUUUACGACCUCGAUGUUGGAUCAGGACAUCCUGAUGGUGCAGCCGCUA
rnacentral:rRNA from 1 species